CACAACCUGCAGACUUUCCCCUUCUAUUCUUCCUUUUUGUCUUUUCAGCCUCACAAUCCACCUGCUUCGCCGUCUUCUACUGUUCUCUGUCAUUGCAAGCUUCAUCCAUACACCUCUUCCACUCCCUUUCAUAUUUCCACGUUUCCUCUCUUCUCUUUCUGCAACAAACCCUAAUUUUUAGAUUUUGUAUUCCACAAACUCCAUCCUAAAGUUCAGACCUGUCCAUAACCACAAAUUUUUACAUCCUUUCUAUCUUCCUCUCUCAUGAAGAUUUGGAGAUGAAAAUGCUUAUCGAUGUGCGAUUCAGAUUUUCGUUUCAAAACUCCUUCUUCGACGACGCCGCUUCGUAUGGGGUUCUCUGAUCGGAAGUUGCAUAUGUGAUUCUGCCACAGUUAAUCAUUCUACAACAAAGUAACGGUCUUGAGCGCUUAUUCCUAUGCAAAACCAAGGACGACCUACGCAAAGAUGCUCACAUGAUGAAGUUCACAUCCGUUUUUAAUUGACUAUUAUCCAUAUGUCUUGAAAGUCGUAGAAGAAAGCUAUAUAUUCACACUUUUGCUAUGAUUCCUCUAACAUAUUUGCAAUUUUUUAUUCAUUAGCAUUGUGAGAGGUAUAUAUUUUUUAUCCAUCACUUAUCUUUACAUAUUUGUUUUCUCAGGUGUAUUUGAAUCAUUGCAGACACAAAACAAUUUUAUACUAAAGUUCAGGAAAUUAUACUUGCUAGCUACAUUUAAUCCUUUGAUUGGCCUCUAAAGGCAAAAAUGAUGGGAAUGAAAGUAAUUGAGAUGUGAAUGACAAUAGCUUACAAUAGCUUACUGUCACUUGGUUCAUAAUGUUGAUGGAAUUCUAUUUUGGAGUGUUUGUGGUUUGGAGUGCUAAUAUUGACAUGGUUUGUUUAUGCAUAACAACAACUUAGUGCUUUUUGAUGCAUACUAUUCUGCUUCUGUAUUUUAAGCAGGCUCACAGCUCUACAACUAAGAAAGGAGAGGUUGCAACUAUUUAAGGCACAUCUUUUGGAACAAGGUUCGUUUGACUCUGCUGUUGAAGGAUGUGAUGGUGUCUUUUAUAUUGCUUCACCAGUUCGUGUUGUCGUAAAUGACCCACAGGUUGAGUUGAUUGUUCCACUUAUAUCGCAAUAGUCCUGGUUGCCCCACAUCUACAGGUUGUUACAGAUUCAGCUUUGGCUGUGAUAAUUCUACUGGCACUUAUAAGGUAAUGGUAUCCUGUUACUUUCGUCAUCAACUAAGAAGCAAUGUGAAAAUUUUAAGCUUGGGUGAUAAUGUUUGGAGGGAUAUUGAAAGUUUCCCUGUUGAACCUAUAUAUGCGGAUUAUGCUUGUGGAACUGAUUAUGAUGAUGUGUAUUUCAAAAGCAUUAUCACUUGGUUGGGUAUUUGAAAUAAACUUUGGUUUGUAUUAGUUAUAAUUUCAUAAAGAAAUUUGUCAAGUACUUGGGGACAUAAGAUUUUGAUGUACUGAUAAACCACAUAUUUUUAUAAGAUUAUGUUUAAUUGGA